rnacentral:lncRNA from 1 species
CUUGAAUCAAUUUGAAAAGUUGUGAGAUGCUAGAAAGAAAAGCUACUAAUGAGGUAGGUUUCCUUUCUUCAUCCAAACUUCUAUUAACUCCAAGUUAUAUAUUUAUAGAAAUGAAUAUAUUCUAAGCUGUGUUAUCUUGUAUAAACUGCACACUAUUCAAUGAUAUUACAAAUCCUUGCAUCUUACUCAUAGACUAGUAGUCAAAAGAAAACUCAAUCUUAUCAUGUUAUUAUGUUAUUCUUCUAAGCAUUUUAUGUUAAUUAUAAAUCAUUUUCUCUAGUAUAAUAUUUAAUGGGUUGAAUUCCAUAAUCUCCAUUCAAAUAUUUGACCUUUUAGUUGAAAAAUUAACUCAAUUUUGCUUAUAUGAUUUAUGGGACUGCACAAACCUUUUAGAGAGAUUGCAUUUGUGGAGAAAGCAAUGGGAUCAAAAGUCAAAUACACUACUAACAACCUUUAAAUCCUGAUUUCAUACUAUUUUUGAAACAUCUAUGCUCUCACCAGGUACGUGAUACUGUUAACCAACAAAAAUAGCUUCAAAAUUUAAAAGUUUGCUACUAUAAUGUAUCAAUUGUGAACUCCUGCAUACUUCUUAUCGAUACUUGUAUAUCUAACUGUUAUUUGGUUCUUCUGAACUAUGAAAAUCUAAUUAGAACUCGUAGAGUUUGUCUGUUUGAUUCUUAUGUAUGAAGUGUUAGAUUUUUCGGAAUUUAUUAUCUUCUUGGUUGUUGUUGGGACUUUAUGACCCAAUUUGUGAUUAUCCAAAGGAAUCUCAUGCGAAAUCCUAAAAUUUUGGAAUUACGGUGCCAAAUUUAAAAUUUUGAGCUCAUAACAAAAUUGACUUAUUUUAUAUUGAUCAGGCUAACGUCAGCCUACCAUAGCGGUAAGCCUUCCGCUAUGGCUGCACCGCUAUAGGACCUUCAUGACCAUUAUGGUGGACUACGUGAAAUCAGACCCUUGUUAAUAUAAUUUAUAUUAUUUUCCUCUCAAUUUUGAAAGAACGAAAUAGAUGAAGACUGCUCUAAAAACCCUUAUGUAGGUACCCAGGGCAUGAGAGCAAUGGAGAGGAGAGAUUACAUCAAGAUAGGUGAAAACCCAAGGAAUUCAAAUCCUUGUUCGUCACAGUUUUCUCUCAUAGAGUCGAAAGCUCAUAGUAAAGGUUCAUCAAUAGAUGUUUGGUGCCUAAGUAAGGUAAGUUUUUUUAAACUGAGAAGUUAAACCCAUCUUUACUUACUCAUAUCUUGUGUAUGUUUAGAGUUUGCAUGCGCAAGCCUUCGUGCUCUGAGUUGGACGGUUAGGCUUGUGCCUAAGGUGGUUAGGCUAAUAAUGGCAGUUAGUAAUUUGAGGUUUUUCUAUGAUAUGGUUGUGUGUUGUCUUGGGAAGGGAAGUAGUGGGCGAAGAAUCUAGGAUGAUGGACUGUCUAGAAGGUUACCUUUCAAUAGGUGAUAGCUGUGUGUUUUCCAAGUUAUGUAUGUAUGCAUGUCUACUACUUUAUAUUAUCACUUGUGCAAUGCAUGUCAGGGAAAACAUAAGAAAUAAUGUGAAAUGACAUUAUGUUGAUAAUCUCAUACAAUGAAUCUGCUUACUUUACUUGUGGUUUCAAGUGUAAUUGAUAAUAUCCUGCAGUGAACCAGUGAUUGCCACCUCCGAUCAUUGGGAGAAUAGUAGUGGAUGGUAAAGCCCUUUAUAGUAGGCCAAAUGAUCUCCCACUCUCUUCCACCAGCGUAUUCUGCAACCAUGUCAUAUGCAUCUUUCUUAGAUUGGCAUUAUAGGCCGGAUUAGAUACCUUUGGCACCCCAGUGCUUCAUUUAUAGACCUGGCAUCUAGGGGGAAGUUCACUUCUCGAAUGCGGAUGGUGGGGUUGGGGGAAUCCCAUAGAACAGUAGGGAGGAUGGCAUAAAACUCCCUUACCCACCCGACCUGAAAUAAGGGAUGAGCCACCACCAAAGGACCCCUAUUGAACUCUUAAAUCCAGUUGUAGAAAACACAAGCUUCUUUGGUUGCUCCUCUCAUCUUGAAAACCCAUUGUAACGGCCUAGCCAACUAGUGAUAUUGUCCGCUUUGGGCAUAGUCCUGCACUAAUUUAAAAUGUGUCACUAAUUGGUAAGGAAUGCUUACUUAUCUAUCAAACAUCUCUCCUAUGGUUUGCCGAUGUUAGACUUAUAAUCUUAAAUUGAGAUGUCACAUACAUCCCAUCUAUGGACUCAGCGUCAUCAAUGAGGUUUUCCCCACCACAUGGGAUUCACCUAGACUAAGCACUAAGGUUUGCCCCACCUUAUAGUGAUUUGCCUAAACUCAGUUGAAAUCUAGCCCACAUAGACAAGGCUAACACAUGAGUGGCUUUACUACAAUUUGUAACAGCCCAACUGAUUAGUGAUAUUGCCCACUUUGGGUAUAGGCCCGCACAGUUUUAAAACACGUCACCAGUUGGUAAGGCUUGCUUACUCAUAUACCCAAAGUCUCUCAUAUGUUUUGCCGAUGUGUGACUUAUAAUCUUAAGUUGAGGUGUCACAUACACCGCCUCUAUGGACUUAAAAUCCUCACUGAGGUUUGCCCCACCGUAUAGAAUUUGCCUAGACUCAGCACUGAGGUUUGCCUUGCCUUACCAGGAUUUGCCUAAACUUAAUUGAACUUUGACCUAUAUCAACAAUGCUGACACAUCAGUGGCACUGAUACCAAGUUUGUUACGUCUUGAGUCUAUACCUCAGCCGAGACACGGCACCUCGGACCAUGAAUGAUCCAGGGAUAACCCUUGACUUAACAUAUUAGACAUAUCAUAUAAACUAUUGCAAAACUUAAACAUAUGCUUAACACAAAAUUCAAUAAACUUUGUGAUACUACAUUACUAAUCUGUAUAAAGUCUCUAUUACUUUAGAAUUAAAAUAUAAGUUUGUCAGGACAUGACCAUCAACUACCUCAAAACAAAGACAACAUGAGGAAAAAAGUUAACAGUCUAAAACAACGGAGUCCCCAAAUGAGAAGGGCUCACCAAAAGCUAACUGAGAGUGCUGCAACCUCACUAACCACGAAUUUGAGUGUGAAUAUCAGAAUCUACAUCAUAAAAGGAUGGAAUGUGUCAGUAAGUGGAAUGUACUAUGUAAGUAAGGGAGGACACUAGUUAAAUCAUUUAAAGAAUCAUGAACAAGACAGUAAAACAAUAUUUCCAAGAUCAUAUGUAUAGUAAAAGUGUUGAAGAGAAAACAGUUGGAGUCAAUGAUCAAGUGUCAUAAAAAUCUCUUUUCAAAAGUACAUAUACAUAUAGUUGAUUCAUUUUAGUAGUCCUGCAUAAAAUAGAAUCAUGGAUUCCAACUUAUCAUAAAAUAGAAUCAACUAUAUGUAUAUGUAGUUUUGAAAAGAGAUUUUUAUGACACUUGAUCAUGGACUCCAACUGUUUUCUCUUCAGCACUUUUACUAUACAUAUAAUCUUGUAAAUAUUAUUUUACUGUCUUGUUCAUCAUUCUUUAAAUGAUUUAGCUAGUGUCUUUCCUUACUCAGUAUAUUCCACGUAUUGACACAUGUAUUUCUCUGCGUUGCACACUUUUAUUAUGAAGAUUAUGAUAUUCACGCUCAAAUUCAUGGCUAGUGAGGUUGCGACACUCUCAGUUAGCUUUUGGUGAGCCCUUCUCAUUUGGAGAUUCCGUUGUUUUAGAGUGUUAACUUUUUUCCUUAACUUGUCUUUGUUUUGAGGUAGCUGGUGGCCAUGUCCCGGUAGACUUAUAUAUUCAUUCUAAAGUAGUAGAUACUUUAUUCAGACAUUAAUAAUGUAGUCUCAUGGAGUUCAUUGAAUGCUUUAUUAAGCAUAUGUUUUAGUUUCUGCAAUAGUGCAUAUAAUAUGUGUCACGACCCGAGUCUACACCCUGGACAUGGCCGGCACUCAAGAACCAUUGCUGGUCCCCGAGAGAACCCUCAUCCUGACUAACUACAAGCGGAAGACUAACUUAAGCAUGCAAAAUCUAAAAACUGAAUAAAAUUCAAUAAACUCAACUUUUCAAAACUUUAACUCAAAUGAACAACUUAAAAUAAAAAUAAUAUAUUCAACUCGCCAUAAAGUAGGCAACUUAUAUCUUUAAAUUAUUUAAUAAAAUAAAUGAAUAAUACAGACUUCUCAACUAUACUGACUAUCUAUGAAGCCUCUAACUGAUAAAGAUGGAAGUCGGGACAAGACCCACGACAUACUGACUAAACUGAAAAGUAAAUGAAAUCCUCAUUAAAAUAAGGAGGCUCACCAUAGCUAACUNNNNNNNNNNNNNNNNNNNNNNNNNNNNNNNNNNNNNNNNNNNNNNNNNNNNNNNNNNNNNNNNNNNNNNNNNNNNNNNNNACUCACUCAACUCAAAGAAACAUAGCUCAACUCAAUGAUAAGAUAUUCAACUUAGAGGUAUACUCAAGGAUACUCAAAACUACUCAAACUUACUCAACUUAGAAGUACUCAAGGAUAAGAUACUCAACUCAGAGAUUAGAUACUCAACUCAAUAUAAAGCAACAAUAAAAGAUGUAAUAUUUAUGGAAAGCUGUAAAACUGUAGAUAACAACUCAAUGUAUUGAAAAAAAUUACAAUAAUACUCAGUAUGUAUAUAAAAAUACAAUGUAACUAUGUGGGAGAUUCUCUAACCAACAACCACCACUAUGAGCCUAAAUGGUGAUACAACGUCUUUAGCAUCACGCUACCAGACUGUCCUAUACUUUGCCGUCAUAUAGAACGCCUUAACUAAGUGGAUCCACUAGUCUAUGCUAAAAAGCACUAAGGAANNNNNNNNNNNNNNNNNNNNNNNNNNNNNNNNNNNNNNNNNNNNNNNNNNNNNNNNNNNNNNNNNNNNNNNNNNNNNNNNNNNNNNNNNNNNNNNNNNNNNNNNNNNNNNNNNNNNNNNNNNNNNNNNNNNNNNNNNNNNNNNNNNNNNNNNNNNNNNNNNNNNNNNNNNNNNNNNNNNNNNNNNNNNNNNNNNNNNNNNNNNNNNNNNNNNNNNNNNNNNNNNNNNNNNNNNNNNNNNNNNNNNNNNNNNNNNNNNNNNNNNNNNNNNNNNNNNNNNNNNNNNNNNNNNNNNNNNNNNNNNNNNNNNNNNNNNNNNNNNNNNNNNNNNNNNNNNNNNNNNNNNNNNNNNNNNNNNNNNNNNNNNNNNNNNNNNNNNNNNNNNNNNNNNNNNNNNNNNNNNNNNNNNNNNUUUAUUCAACUGCAAAGCUUAAGUCUUAAAACAAAGUUUAAACAUUUGUAAAAGACUUCUAAAAAUAUGGUUCACGCCGAAUUAUGGACUUGAACGACUCAAUGCAAGGUUUUCAAUAACCAAAGAUAGACUCAAAUACUUGGAACUCAAGAACUUCAAUGAUAUUACUAAUUUCAAGAAUGCUCAACUCAGAGGAUUCAUGCAGAACUAUGAGCAUGAACUACUCAACUCAAGGACUCAAAGAUACUUCUCAUCUCAAAACUGAUCGACUUAUAGUGUUCAUGCGGAAUUAUGGGCAUGAAAUAUUCAACUCAAGGACUCAAAGAUACUUCUCAAAAGGGAUUAGGAACUCAACACUUAAAGACUUAGAACUUGAAUAUACCACUUCUCUGAAGGAUACUCAACUUACGACAUUCAUGCAGAGUUAUGGGCAUGAAACAACUCGACUCGAUGAUCUACAUAACAAUAUGGAACUCAUGUAUGGGACUCUUCUCAUUUUCUGAAUUACUUCCUCAAAACUUAGUUCAAAUCGAUAGUUGAUCUAAAGGAUUCACAAUUGAACUCAAAGGCUUUCUUGAACUCUACUAUUAACUCUCUCUUGAAUGCGAAUUAUGAAUUCAAGAGUUAUGCUUCAUGGUAUGAAGGAUCUUGUAAUGAUAAAGUAGACUCAUGAAUACAUUCUCCUCACUCGUACUCACUUGCUCGAGUCUUGAAACAAGUUAUUAGAAAUUGUAGAAAACUCCUCAAAAGGACUUAAAGGAUUUUCUUACAAUGUUCGAAAGAAUUCUCAAAAACUUAACUCUUAACUCUACCUUGAACUUGAAUUAUGGAUUCAAGGUUGUGAUUUGUGAUAGGAAAGAUCUCAUGAUGUUUAGCAUUGAUUUUAUAUAGCUAAACAUGAGAAAAUAUCAAAAAUUCACUACUUGGAAGCUAGUCCGCGACGCGGAGACGCAUUAAAAUAAUUGGUUGCGAAAUAACUUUUGAGGCAGAGAGGUCCGUGACCUCUCCGCGAUGCGAAGAAAACUUUAUGAAAUGGGGAGGCAGGUCCGCGACGCGGAGCCAAGUGCCAGAUUUGCCCGACUUUUCUCUUCUUCGUUUUCUAACCCCAAAUCGCCAAAAUUCGAUUCUUUUGCUCAACUUUUCUUUAGAUUCAGAUAACCAUCACAUGUACACAAGAAUCUAACUCACAACUACUUUAUAAAUCAAAACAAUAAUCUCAAGAACUCCUAAAUCUCAGCCCAAUUCAAGAAUGAAAGCAAAUUCAAGAACACAUAUCAAUAACAUCAGAUUUUCAACUUUCUAGAACGAACUUAACACUGAAAUUUACAUGAUUGGCGUGUGGGUGAACAAACCCAACACUAUGGAAGCUUACAUACCUGAAAGAACCAUCUUCUUGAAGAACUUGAAGGAAAAUCUUGAAAUAUGAACCCUAACCUUAGCGUUUCUUGAAUCCCUUGAGCGUAGAAUUUUUGGAGUUGGAUGAGAGGGUUUGAUUUAUGAAAAACUGAUUUUCUACACGUUUGGGGUAAUUUAGAUGACCUCCUAAGGGUUUUUAGGACUAAAAUACCCUUAAAAAAUAAUUAAAACGAGCUGGGAGUCGGAAUAAUUUUUCACCAGGCAGUGAGGUCCGUAUUGGCUCCAUAACGCGGAGCCAUCACGGAGCUGCUGCCAGGUUUGCGCGUCGUUAGUAAAUCAGUCAUAACUUUUUACUCAGAGCUCGAAAUUUAGAAAACUCGGUGGCGUUUGAAAGAGGACUCAAAGGGCUUUAAUUUUCUAUCUUGUAUCUCACCUAAAUCAUCUUUUUCUAGGAGUUAUGGUCAUUUGAAGUUGACCCAAAACUUAAGAAAAACUUAGGAAUGACUUGAAUGAGCUCUCUUUAGUUCUUCUUGGAAAUUAAGGUGCUACAUAUAAUGAUCUUAAUACUCAAGAAAUUUUAAAUUCCUUGCAAAAAUCUCACUCACUACGAAGAACGGUUCGAGUUUUAGCUCAGAAAAUUUCUGGGGUGUUAUAAUAUGCCUGAUAUGUUAAGGGAUAGCCUGAGAUCAUUCAUGGUCCUAGGUAUCGUGUCUCAACUAGGGUCGUAAAAAAUUUGGUAUUAGAUCCACUCUUGUGUUAGCUUUGUCAUGUUGAUGUAGGCCAAAGUUCAACUGAGUUUACAAAAAUUCUAGUAAAAUGGGGUAAACCUUAGUGCUGAGUCUAGGCAAAUCACAUACGAUACGGGCAAACCUCGGUGAUGAGUCUAGGCAAAUAAUAUACAAUGGGGGCAAACCUCAGUGCUGGUUCCAUAGAGGGGUGUAUGUGAUACACUAACUUAAUAUUAUAAGUCCCACAUCGACAAAACAUAUAAGAGAUGUUGGGUAUAUAAGUAAGUGCUCCUUACCAAUUAGUGACGCAUUUUAAAUCCGUGCGGGCCUAAACUCAAAGAAUACAAUAACACUAGCGGGCUCGAAAAUUACACUCACUCUAGACAAAAACCCAUCCGCUAGAUUUUGUGCAACCUUUCCUGGCUAGUUAUGUCGAUAAAUCUCUCAUAGGGGCAGUCUAGUCCCUCAAUUCUGUCCAUUAGAUAACAUGCAACAUGAGAAGUAUCGAUUAAAAAUCUCAACUCAUACUAAAAAGUGUGUGUAAAGUGGAAAUCCAAUAUUCAUACCAGAUUGGAGAUUGUUGAAUUCUACCCCCCCCCCUCCCACCACUAUAGUGCACGUGUAGGUGCUAUUGCAGUGUGGUGCACCAUAGCGGUUCCGCAUGAGCUAUAGUAGGGGGGGAUGGGGGGGCAUAGCGACAACCUAUCAGCUAUAGCGGCCUCCCACCAUAGCGCGAUGCAAGGGCGCCAUAGCGGCCUUCAUCAUCCCAAAAUGUGAAGAGGCGCAUCAAUGACACCUCUUAGCCCAAAAAUCCCAUUUUUCUUUAAAAAAUUCUACAUAUCAAUGUUCCUAAAGUACCCCCACUAUCUAACUAUGCAACAAUCUAGGCAUUUCAACUCCUAAAUCAUGACCGAAUCUUAGUUUUCUACCAAGAAAAGCCCUCCUACUUUCCCACCAUUUUGGAACAGAUCUCGCCCCUAUUUCUCAUGAUCCUUACGCCCAGAACACUCUAGUGGCAUUGUAAAUGUAAGUGUUAACCCCAUAUUUCAACAAUUUCAAUGAUUAAAUACAAUAUUUUUAACUUUUUAGUAACAACCCAAACUCUAUUCUAGUAUAUCAUUUCCUUUCAUGCAAUCACCCUUAUGCAUAAAACAAAGUAAGUAGAGUGCAUGAUAAUUACCUUAGUUUCGACGUUCUGAUUGGAGUUAUCCAAAAGUGUUUGGGGAGAAUUUCAAAGAGUUGAAAAGGAGAGAAAUGGGCAUAAAAACCCAUUCCCCUCCCUCUUAUUUAUGUUUUUGAUUUUGACUAGUUGCUAUAGCGAGAUCUAUCUUAGUGGAUGGGAAGAAAACAUUGUUGUGGCUUUAUGCGUUUGAAUAUUUUUCCCGAUAGUCUUGGGUACGCAGGGACGUGGUAGCAUUGUAAUAAUUGUUUUGAGAGGAGUAUUAUAUUAACAUCAUCCAAACCACACAGUAAACUUGAUUAACUAGUCGAUCUUCCUUCCAUAUAGAUGGUCAUUCGGAGAUGAAUGAUAGAUAAAUUGGUAUCUAUUGGAAUGACUCAAUCUGUCAUUACUUAAAGGCCUUAUGUGUAAAAUCAUAAAUUCUAGAAAUAGGGUGCCAAAUUUAAAAUCUUGAGCACACAAUGAAAUUAUCUUAUUUUAAAAUUGAUUGGGCUAAUGUCAGCCCACUAUAAUGGGAAGCCUCCCGCUAUGGUGGCACCGCUAUAGCCCUUGCAUGACCUCUAUAGCAGGUUGAUGGAAAAUCACACCCUAGUUAAUGAAACUUCUUUUAUUUUCCUUUCACUUUUUAAAGGAGGAAAUAGACUAGGGCUGCUCCAAAAAACCCUCUGAAGGCUCCCAAGGCAUGGGAGCAAGGGAUGGAAGAUAUUAAAGCAUAAGGGAGGUGAAAACCCAAUAAAUUUUUGUCCGCAUUCAUCAUGGUUUGCUCUCACGGAGCAAUAAGCUCAUAGUCAAGGUUCAACAACAGAUGCUUGUAACCUAGGUAGGCUAUAUUUUUUCUUAAAUUGAGUAUUUAGACCCUUAUUUACUUACAUCAUAUCUUGUGCAUUGUCGUAGUUUCAAUACAUAUGCCUUCAGGCACAAAGUUGGGCGAUUAAGCUCGUCGCUAAGGUGCCUAGGCUGAUAGUGGUUGUUAGUUAUUUUAGGUUGUUCUAUGGUGUGGUUGUGUUGUCUUGGGAAGGGAAGUUGUGGGAGAAUCUAGGAUGAUCAAGGAUUGUCCAAAAGGUUACCUUUCAGUAGGUGUUGGUUAUGAAUUUUCCAAGUUAUGUAUGUAUGCAUGUCUACUUAUUUAUAGUAUCACUUGUGUAAUGUAUGUUAAGAAAAACAUAAAAAAGAAUGUGAAAUGACAGUGUUGAUAAUCUCAUGCACAAAACCUAUUUACAUUACUUGUGGUUUCAAGUGUUAUUAUUUAUUAUGAUUGUGAUUGUGCAUGUUGUUUGUGAUUGUUGGUUGGAUCAGGUACCACACCUGUACAAGAAUACUAACGGCUGGCUGGUACCACACCCGGUAUGAAUACUAACACUGGUUGGAUGGGGUACCACGCCUGUACACUAACAUUUUGUGUGUGAAUUUCAUGAGAGGACCAAAAAUUUAUGUGUUGGUUCCAUGAGUGAACCGGGUUUACCUUUUUCAUAAUAUGAUCAAUGCAUAUUGGUCCAUGAGUGGUCGGUAUUUGUGUUUAAAUGUUGGGAUGGUUCUUUUAUAGACCGUGAUUGCAUGUUAAAUACUGUAGAUGGUGUCUUAGGGAUCCUUCAGUGGUCCAGGUUACUUGAAAGGUGAGUUGGACUUAGGUAUGAGUUUGUAUGUGAUCAUGUGGGACAUUUUUAUCUAGGUGAGGAUUGGGAGUUUGGGCUAUGUUAUACUUGUGAUUCUAAUUGUAGGUUAUUUCUUUUACUAAGUUGUGGUUACUAGGUCAGGUUGAUGGCCGGGGUCUGGUGUAUAGUUUAAAUGUUGGGAUUGGUUAUGGUUGUUCUGUGUUUAGGACAUAUCUAAUAAGGGGGAUUGGGUCAAGGACCAGAGUGGUGGCAUGAGAACAUGAGGGGGAUUAGUAGGUUGGUUAACAGAGUUGGAAGUGGUUAGGGUGUUCCUUACAAAAGGACUUGUUUUAAAUCAAGUUAAGGGUAUUUUCAUAUUUAAACAGGAUGUUAGAUUAUGUUUUAUGAAUUUCCGCACUGCCCUUUUUAAAAUUGGAUGAUAAGGGUUCUCCUAUCUAGGUGUUAGAGUAGGUGCUUACACGACCCGAUUGGUUGGAUCAUGACACAAAUAUGGCAAAUGAUAUUAUUUUUCUUCUAAAAGAGCUAACACUACAUAUCUGAUUCUAUUAAUUGAGUUCUUUUUUAUCAAUAGUAUUUUCCCUCUUCUCAAUUGAAUUAUCUAUAUACUCCUUGAUAUUUAAUCUGUCAAACCAUAUUUCUUCUGAACUAUUAUUCUUGUAUUCCUCUUGCAAUUGAUUUUGUUUCUAUUGAAUCUUUUUGUAAAGAUAGUUUCUAAUCUCCAUCUUCAUCUAUGCAUAGAUUGUUUGUAUGAAAUGAAUACUUGUUAAGCCCUAGUUUCUCAUAUGCCAUCAAUUUUAACGAUUAACAGUGUUUUAUGUUUCCUUCUAAGGUUACUUUAUGAGUAAUGAAUUUUUCAUAAAGGUGUGCAUGGAUCGUUUGAAUAAUAUUUUUAAAAAGGGUCAUAAGAUUUUUUUUAUUUUUUUAUAGAAGUUAUCUAUCAAAAAAAUAAAACAAAAAGGAUUGUCUUGAUGGAUUUUAUUGUGGCUAAAUAUCACUAUUUGAAGGAAGCAUAUCACUACUUAAGCACUAUUAAUUGUUGUAAUUGAUGUCAUAUGAUAAACGACAAGUUAUCAUUUCAUAUAAACAAGUCGUGGAUAUAUGAAGAUGAAGAUUAGAAUAUCUUUAUUCGAGAGAUAAAAAAGAAAUAAAAUAUAUUUUUAAAAAAUAAAUCAAGAACGAUAGUUGAGAAGUAAUGUGAUUUGAGGGAUGAAAUAUCAAGGAGUUUAUAAAGAAAAUUAAAUUGAGAAGAGAGAAAAUAUUUUUGAAGAUGAUAAAUAUUCAAUUAAUAUGAUCAGUUAUGUAGUUUUAACUUGUGUAGAAGGAAAAUAAUAUUUGAACAUUUAAUCAAUAUUUAAUUAUUAUUUGUGGAGUUUUUCUAAUAUAUUAUAUUUCAAUAAAAAAAUUGUAUUUUGAGCAUUGCUAAUUGGUCAACAUACCAUAAUAGUUUGAUGUGUUAUGAACCCUAACGUGUGUAUUUUUCUUGACCAAUUCACUUUAUCCACAAUAAAAAUAAUUAUAAGAAUCUCAUAUUAGCUACAUUUUAUAAACAAUAAGUAAAUAUUGACCAAUUAUCUAAAUAUGUCCAAUGAUAUUAUAUUGUUUUUCUUCUUAAACAGCUAAAACUAUGUGUCGGGAAAGGAUGAGGUAUUUUAUUAAGAUUUGAAUGAUGUCUAUUUGUAUCUAAGACAUUAAGAAAUCCAUAAGGACUUUCGGAAUCAAAUUCGGGUAAGUAGAACUCCUGAAAUUGAACUUGACGUGAAAAGUAUGUGUCGGGACGUCAAGAAAAGGAGUUGUGUUAUAAAAAGGGCAUGUUUUCGAAUGUUGAGCAGCAGAUCAUCCAUCUAUCUCUCUAUCGUUGAUAUCCUCCCACUAUAGAUACACACAUAUCGCCAUAGCGACGUACGUUGUCGCUAUGGCGACGACAUCGUUAUAGCAAGACCGGUGUCUCUAUAGCAAGGGAAUCAAGAUUUUAUCCAGAAAACUGCCCAUGCCCCUGUUUUCUGCAAGUUGAGUUCUUGAAACAGAGAAGGACGAUUUUGGGCAGCCUACAUCAGUUUUCCUACGAAAAUCACCGGUAAAGGUAAGAAUUUGACUCCCUGGUCUUGUUAAUUGUUAAUUAAGCCUUAGAAACUUGGUGGUUAACCUUGGGGAAGGGGGAACUUUUGGCAUGAUUUCAUGGUGGGAAUGAGCCCUAAGUGGGAAAAGAUGAUCACAUUUUUUCUGGGAAUUUGUUAGUAAUCUAGGUAAAUUAUUAAGCCAUUUGUGAUUGAUUGAAUAUUUUAUUGUUUGUUCUAGACCAAGAACAAUUCAAGGCACUUCCCAAGGGGAAAGCUCAGACUAUUUAGAGUUUUCAAUGAGCUUGAUUUGAGAUAGGUGAUGGUUGUAUGUUUCUAGUUAUGUGUGUACACAUGUCUACUGCUUUGUAGUGUCAUUUGUGUAAUUCAUGAUAGAGGAUACAUCUGAAAUGAACUGGUGAUUAUAACUUGUGGGUUCAAGUGAUUUUGUUGUAGUUAUAGGUGAAUAUUCAUGAUUGUUGUACUUUAUGAUUGUGCAUGAUUGGUGUGCUUGUUGGUUGGAUCGGGUAUCAUUUCGGUACAUGAUAUUGUUGAUUGACUCGGGUACAACAUUUGUAUGAAAUAAUAUUGGUUGACUUGGAUGCCACACCUGUUAUGAUAUUAUAGUUCUGUUUGGGUCCUGUGAGAUGAUCAAUAUUUGCAUUAUGAUCAUAUGGGACAUGUUUAUGCAUUGGUUGGUUUCUGUUUGUAAUUUUAUGUUAUGUGAUUGAUAAUCCUUAUUGGCGUGAGGGUGAAAGAACCCAUAACUAUAAAAGCUUACAUACCUUGUUAGGAUCAAAUCCUUGGUGAAAUCCCUCGAAGAUCGCAAGAAAAUCUUGAAUGCUUGAAGCUUUUCUCCAUUUUCUCCUCUUUGAACUUUGCCCUAACUUUCCAAACGUUUGAGACUUUAGCGUAAAUUGAUUUUAAUCAGCUUUGACCACUAAUUGGGUAAAAAACUUGCUUAAGGCUAAUGGGGUAAGGAAAAGACCAAAAUACCCCUCCUUAAUUCGGAUGAACUUUCUUUAAUCGGAUAGGCUGAACUCAAACGGGCAUAUCUACCUCAUCCGAACUCGGAAUUUAACAAACUUUGUAGCGUUGGAAAGAGGACUCAAAGAUCUUUCAUUUGAUAUCUCAUGGGCCACCUAACUCACCCUGUACUGAAAGUUAUGGUCGUCUGAAAUUAACCCAAAACUCACAUGUGAAGACUAACUUCCACAAAUUCUUAAUUUAGCUCUUUCCAAUUUAGUUUUUCUAAAAUUAGAUCUUUCUAAGACCGAGAUGUUACAGUCGCGAUAAAUACAUACCAAAGAAAUAAAAAAUUAUUCAAAGAAAAACUCAAAAAUGAUAGUAAAAAGCAAUGUGAUAUGAGGGAUAAAAUAUCAAGGAGUGUAUAUAGAUAUUGAGAGAAGUAUUGCAAAAAACCCUGGACUUGUCGCGUAUUAUUUGUUUUAUCCCCGAACUAUUUUUAGCCUUAAAAAUAUCCAUAUACUUAACUAAAUGAACUUAAAUACACCCUCGAUGUGCCACAUGGUGUAGCAAGUGAGUUUAAACUCUAGUAGGAGCAUGCGAUUCUUAAUAAAAAUUCGAGAGAAGUAUUGAAAACACCCCUGAACUUGACAAGAAUUAUUAGUUUCGUCCUAGAACUAUUGAUAGUAUUAACAACACCCCUCUGCUUAACUAACUGAACUUAAAUAAACCCCCGUUCUUGCAAGAUGGGUAAAUAAUAACUCCUCCCAUUACAGGCUAUUCCUAUAAUUUUUUCACCCAAAAUAAUAUGUCUGUACUAAGACCCAAAAUUUUUAAGAAGAUAAUCUUAUAAUCGUAGUUCUUAUAAUAAAUAUUAAUUAUUAUUAUUAAUAGAAAUAGUUGGAGCAGGUGUAAGUAAGAUUUUUUUAAAUAAAUUAAAGAAUGUAAAAAUGAUGAAUUAAUUCUUGGCCCCUUGAGACUGAAAACGGUAACAAUACUCCUUCAAUUACUUUUUACUUAAUUAAAUGGUGAGGCCCAUAAGCUGUAUUAUUGAAAUCAAAAUGAAGUACAGGCCCAAUCCAACAACAGAUAGGGCUAAAGAAAAACAAUACAAAAGUAGCUAAAAAGAUAGCAAAACCUAAAAAGGCAGUCAAAGGGGAGAGGAAAAGAUAUCAGCUUCUCAGAGUUUUCAUAUUGAUUUCGCCGCCGUGGCUUGAACUCUGAUUGGUCGCCCACCAUAAUUGUGAAACAUCAGCUUCCCCUAUCUCAUAUUGAAAUAAGAUCCCUUUAAUGAAGCUCCACUUCAUAUAAACUUCAAGAUCACGUCGAUUGCGACAUUAUGUUGGCUUCUUCUUGAAUCAAUUUGAAAAGUUGUGAGAUGCUAGAAAGAAAAGCUACUAAUGAGGUAGGUUUCCUUUCUUCAUCCAAACUUCUAUUAACUCCAAGUAAUAUAUUAUUAGAAACAAAUAUAUUCUAAGCAUCUUACCCGUAGACUAGUAGUCAAAAGAAAACUCAAUCUUAUCAUGUUGUUAUGUUAUUCUUCUAAGCAUUAUAUGUGAAUUAUAAAUCAUUUCCUCUAGUCUAUUAUUUAAUGGGUUAAAUUCCAUAAUCUCCAUUCAAAUUUUAGACCUUUGAGUUGAAAAAUUACUCAAUUUUGCAUAUUUGAUUUAUGGAACUGCACAAAUCUUUUAGAGAUCCUGUGAGUACCAUCAUACCAGAUAGGGGAGUCAUAGGUCUAUACACUUUGUUACUUAUACUUACUGUUGGUUCUACUGAAUACUAUGUAUUCAUAUGCAUUGCCUAUCACCAGUAUACUGGUUUGCUGAUUUCACCCUCCGAUUUUAUGGGGGCAAUUUGGUUAUGUUUGUUGUUUGUACCUACCGAGCUUAUGUGGGUUGGGUUAGAUUAUUGUUUGAUUAUAUUCUCUUCUAUGUUGUUGAUCUGAUAACUAAUAGGUUGUGACUUUCGAUUUGUGGUUGUUAGUCCUCUUGACCAUGGGUAGUUGGCUCUUGUAUAUUAGUUUCUUGUGAGUAGGUUGUUAGUUUGUGUUUCGGCUACGUUCUUGAAUUAGUUCCUUAUUUCUUGUACCCUACUUCUGUUCGUUAUUUCUUGUCUAUCAUAUUAUCUCAUGUUUAGUUAUUUGUGCUAUGCUUUCCUUAUUACUUGUUGUUUAUACUUGCUUUAUCUUUGGAGCUCAAUCUGCUGAUGCCUAGUGAGUAUCGUUUUUGGUACUCAUACUACACUUCUGCUCCCCGCACAACAUAGUUUGAAUUUUUGCCGUUGAUUUGGAGUCAUGUAGAGCAUCUUGGAGUUUGGAGACUAAGGUGAGCUCCUGGCGUUUGGAGUUACCAAUUUCCUUAUGUUUUGGUUAAACUUAGUCUUUAUACUUUUUCAGAGAUAGCCCAGACUAAUUUUGUAUUUGUAAGAAGUUUGUAAUCUUAUUUUGAUUAGAUGCUCGAUUAAUGAUUGAUGUCAAGUCUUGGGGAUGGUUUCUGGUAUUGCAUUACGUUGAUUACCCUUUCUUCGCUUUAUUUCAAGCUUCAUGUGUAUUAUUGUUCACUUCUGCUUGAUAGCCCAUCGCUUAUGGCUCUGGGUGAUGGGUUAGGCUUACCUAGUGGUGGGGUGUAUUAGGUGCCAUCAUGAUCUAAAAAAUUGGGCAGUAACAAGGUGGUAUCAAAGCCAGGUUGGCCGACAUCGUUGGUAUGAGGAAAAUGCC